CAGCCUGUUCUGGACCCUUUGAUGGCUACAGCAUGCACAUCACCAGCACCCCCAACGUUGGUGAUUAAAACCAGGUUGAAGUAGGAGUGGCCAUUGAUUGUGAAUCGUAUGCCUCCUCUCCUCCUACAGGGUACCCUUCUAUAGGCCACAGGAACAAUUCCAGCUCUGUAUUGAGCAUGUGCUGGAAGACAGGCUGAGAGAGGUCAAAGUGCUGCUGAGGAGGGUUGCACCAGCCCCCUGCAUUGUUAGGCAGAGCAUUGUUUGGAGGGCAGAAAUUAGUGGCCGUGACCACAAUGGAACCAGGCAGGCACCAUUUGGGGUCAUUCACACAUCUAAUCUCAUAGCAAGAUCCACAACUCAACCCAUUGUUGAACAAAGCAGUGCUCAAUGCUGCAG
rnacentral:misc_RNA from 1 species